GGUUGUGUAGUGUAGCGUUUCAAUAGCACUUUAGAUUUUGAAGAUUCUCCUCUCCUUCCAAGAACCCCGGUUCGAGCCCGGGCACGACCU